UCGAAACUGGUUUGUCAUUUGUUUUUGGGUGAAAAUCCCCUAAAUAAAACUUUCCUUUUUGCACUUAAAAAUUGAUUUUCAAUUCUCCAAAAGUAGGAAAUCAGUUCGAUGAAAAGUGAAAGAAAGUUUGCCAAUUUCAUAGAUUUGUCGUUGGAUGGAGAAUGUUUGAUUUGGAUCGUGAAGUUGACGGUCGGUCGUGACUGAGAGGAAUGUGUUUUGGCGGUCGAGUGCGAAAAGACGUGAGCCAGCCCAGCCCAGCCAAGCCCAAGCAGCUUUGUAUACGUUCACGAGAUGCCCUUGAAAAAGGAAGAAAAAACAAGACGACCGGAGAUCCGGAACUCUCUGUCUCUUAUCCUCUAUUUCCAUCCAGCAGCUCCAGCAGAAAAAUCUUUUUCACUCUUGUUUAAAAAAUAAAAACAACUACUCAUUUUUUUCUUUUUCAAAACAUAUGGGAGCGCCAUGUUUGAAAUGAAAUGAUCCCGAUAUGACUACUAGACUUAAAGACCACACUCGAUGAAAUGUGUGCGUGAUGCAUUGACUGUCUUAUUUUCUUACACAAAUUUGUAAAGUUGUUUAUCUUUUGAGACUGUUUUUGUGUGGAUAGCCAAAAGAUAUCAAAUGACUUGAUCGUGUCAGACGUCUGUAUUUACACAGUGCAAUGUUGGUCUAACUUUUGAGAUUUUUCUUUUUAUUCCUCAUAUCAGUUCAUAAUGACGUGAAACAUCACAAGAAAUCAAAUGCAAGAUAAGAUUGGAUUAAUAUUUAAAUGACUUUGGGUUUUGUGUGUGUGUUUGUUUGUUUGUGCCAUAAUAUAAAAUUUAGUCAAAUAAUAGUGGGUUAAAUUUAAAAGUAUAUUAUUAAUAUUAUUAUUAUACAAAUUAUAAAGGACGCAGGCAAUAUCAAGUUAUGCGUUGGGUGUGUAGAGGUGGGUCGGGAUUGGCCGAGAUUGACGUGCGUUUUUCAAAUUUUUUCCUUUUUUUUUCUUCUUCUUCUUCCCAUUUUUAAAUAAAAUCUAAUAAUAUUAUUUGAACGAUGGUGGCGGGAAGAUGCGAACGCCGCCUACUGGAGGUGGUCCAGAAGCCAUCGACAUCAGAGAAGCCCCCAGCUGUUUGGCUGCCACUUCAGUUGUUAGGGCAUUCUUCGGGAUUGGCGCUCCCCUAAAUCACGCGUGACAUGUCAACCCGUUUCUUACGUCAUCAUUUACAAUUCAUU